GUAGAGCGCAUGUAGGCGGAACAAAAAGUUAGAAGUGAAAUCCCUGGGCUCAACCUAGGAAUUGCUUUUAAAACUUUUGUUCUGGAAUUCAGGAGAGGAAAAUGGAAUUUCCAGUGUAGAGGUGAAAUUCGUAGAUAUUGGAAGGAACACCAGUGGCGAAGGCGAUUUUCUGGACUGAUAUUGACGCUGAGAUGCGAAGGCAUGGGUAGCAAACGGGAUUAGAUACCCCGGUAGUCCAUGCAGUAAACGAUGGGUGCUAGUCGUCGGACUUUUGUUCGGUGUCGUAGCUAACGCGUUAAGCACCCCGCCUGGGGAGUACGGUCGCAAGAUUAAAACUCAAAUAAAUUGACGGGGACCCGCACAAGCAGUGGAGCAUGUGGUUUAAUUCGACGCAACGCGAAGAACCUUACCAGCGUUUGACAUGGGAAGUGCCGGUUACAGAAUGGUAACCCUCAGUUCGGCUGGCUUCCGCACAGGUGCUGCAUGGCUGUCGUCAGCUCGUGUCGUGAGAUGUUGGGUUAAGUCCCGCAACGAGCGCAACCCUUAUCGUUAGUUACUAACAGUUCGGCUGAGGACUCUAGCGAAACUGCCGGUGAUAAGCCGGAGGAAGGUGGGGAUGACGUCAAGUCCUCAUGGCCCUUACACGCUGGGCUACACACGUGCUACAAUGGUAACUACAACGGGGCGCAAUACCGCGAGGUGGAGCAAAUCCCCAAAAGUUAUCUCAGUUCGGAUUGCACUCUGCAACUCGAGUGCAUGAAGUUGGAAUUGCUAGUAAUCGCGGAUCAGCAUGCCGCGGUGA
rnacentral:rRNA from 1 species